rnacentral:tRNA from 4 species
AUGUAGCCAAGUGGAUCAAGGCAGUGGAUUGUGAAUCCACCAUGCGCGAAA